rnacentral:rRNA from 1 species
UCCUACGGGGGUGGCWGCCAGUAGGGAAUCUUCCGCAAUGGGCGAAAGCCUGACGGAGCAAUGCCGCGUGAGUGAUGAAGGUUUUCGGAUCGUAAAGCUCUGUUGCCAGGGAAGAACGCUUGGGAGAGUAACUGCUCUCAAGGUGACGGUACCUGAGAAGAAAGCCCCGGCUAACUACGUGCCAGCAGCCGCGGUAAUACGUAGGGGGCAAGCGUUGUCCGGAAUUAUUGGGCGUAAAGCGCGCGCAGGCGGUCAUUUAAGUCUGGUGUUUAAUCCCGGGGCUCAACCCCGGAUCGCACUGGAAACUGGGUGACUUGAGUGCAGAAGAGGAGAGUGGAAUUCCACGUGUAGCGGUGAAAUGCGUAGAUAUGUGGAGGAACACCAGUGGCGAAGGCGACUCUCUGGGCUGUAACUGACGCUGAGGCGCGAAAGCGUGGGGAGCAAACAGGAUUAGAUACCCCC